GGCGUUAAGUUGCAGGGUAUAGACCCGAAACCCGGUGAUCUAGCCAUGGGCAGGUUGAAGGUUGGGUAACACUAACUGGAGGACCGAACCGACUAAUGUUGAAAAAUUAGCGGAUGACUUGUGGCUGGGGGUGAAAGGCCAAUCAAACCGGGAGAUAGCUGGUUCUCCCCGAAAGCUAUUUAGGUAGCGCCUCGUGAACUCAUCUUCGGGGGUAGAGCACUGUUUCGGCUAGGGGGUCAUCCCGACUUACCAACCCGAUGCAAACUGCGAAUACCGAAGAAUGUUAUCACGGGAGACACACGGCGGGUGCUAACGUCCGUCGUGAAGAGGGAAACAACCCAGACCGCCAGCUAAGGUCCCAAAGUCAUGGUUAAGUGGGAAACGAUGUGGGAAGGCACAGACAGCCAGGAUGUUGGCUUAGAAGCAGCCAUCAUUUAAAGAAAGCGUAAUAGCUCACUGGUCGAGUCGGCCUGCGCGGAAGAUGUAACGGGGCUAAACCAUGCACCGAAGCUGCGGCAGCGACACUAUGUGUUGUUGGGUAGGGGAGCGU
rnacentral:rRNA from 1 species